UUGGCAAGUACACAGGUGUUCCCCCAGGCAGUGGGGCCAGGCUGUGGUAGAUGGUGCUGAGGGAAAACGUUGAUGCAUCCUUCCCCUGGUACUGCACCAGUGGCAGCUGUGACUCAGUGGGACAGAC
rnacentral:snoRNA from 1 species